UCAAAUCCUCAAACAUCC
rnacentral:snRNA from 1 species